CGAAACUGGCAGGCUUGAGUCUUGUAGAGGGGGGUAGAAUUCCAGGUGUAGCGGUGAAAUGCGUAGAGAUCUGGAGGAAUACCGGUGGCGAAGGCGGCCCCCUGGACAAAGACUGACGCUCAGGUGCGAAAGCGUGGGGAGCAAACAGGAUUAGAUACCCUGGUAGUCCACGCCGUAAACGAUGUCUACUUGGAGGUUGUGCCCUUGAGGCGUGGCUUCCGGAGCUAACGCGUUAAGUAGACCGCCUGGGGAGUACGGCCGCAAGGUUAAAACUCAAAUGAAUUGACGGGGGCCCGCACAAGCGGUGGAGCAUGUGGUUUAAUUCGAUGCAACGCGAAGAACCUUACCUGGUCUUGACAUCCAC
rnacentral:rRNA from 1 species